CACCGGCCACACCCUUCGGGCCAUUCACUCUCACCAGUCCGGCCCCUCCCCUCUUUGUUCUAGUUUUCCUUUUAUCAGUCCUGCCCUACUGAGGCCUCCCCUCUUCAGCACCAGGAAGACCAGAGCCACAAGGGUCAACUUCCUCCUUUAGAUCCCUCCCAGCCCAGAAAGCGCAGGUGCCAGCCUCUUGAGGAGUCUGUGAAGGUUGAACUUUUUCAGCAGAGCUGCUUUUGACCACCUCACCAUUCACCUUGAAAAAAAGAAAAAAAGAACAGGCCUACCAAGUGCACGCAGCAAGACAGUUCAUUCAAUUAAAUGAACACAGAAAUGAAAGGUCAGCUAAUCCAGAGGGGCAGAGCAUGAGCCAAGCCUCGCUAGGGGCUGACCCGAAUGCUCCACCCGCGCUGUUGUCUUGGCAAAGGAGCACAUGCUAGCCAGGCAGAGCAAAACUGAGAGGGCCUGCCUGCCAGAAGGACUAGGAAAGCCAGCUUCUGGUCAGUUCAAAUCCAAAGCCAGGAUGGCAGUGCUUCAAUACUGCAUUCUACCCAGCUACACGGGUAAAACCACUGAUUUCACCUCAGAGACCAAAAGGACAGCAAUGCCUGGAAUAACGUCACGUUUACUCUGAACUACUCCUGCCAACUGUGCUUUAACAAUCCAGCGAGACAGUGGAUCUCUCAGGAAGGCUGAGAUCCGUAACUCAAGGGGAGGCAGGUCACCAUGAACACCAGCUCCAUGAAGACAGGCUGCAGCCAAGUACUGGAUACAGCUACACAACCCAAAGCCGUGAUGACACCAUCAGAUUGACUAGCCUGUUUCGGUAUCCUGCACUCUACAUCACUGUAAACACAUCAGACCGAGCUCUGUAGAGAUCUCUGUGAUAAAGGAACCUGCAAGAGCAGCUUCCCAUGCUCACCCAGAGUAUGCGAGCCCAGAACUAUGAGUCAGAAAGCCCAAGGCCUCUGUCACCCACAGCUCCAAGACCUCAGGCAAGUUGGCAAACUCUCUGCUCUGAAUUCCACAACUGUAAAAAUGGGGCUAAUAAUACCUGUUUACUACCUCACAGGAAAGAGGGCGACUGCUAAUGAACACUUGCAAGGAGCUUUGAAGAUGAAAAAGGUUCCUGGGUGCUAAUGAUGGCAGUGAGGGUCACUCUACUCUCACUGGGAGACACAGACAGCACACUGGCUUCUCCCAGGAUGCGGCUCUUCUAAACCUUUUGCUUAAACAAUAUGAAGAACCCUGGAGGAGGUGAAAGAUGGUGAUGCUGGGCACACCAGGUAGUAGGAAGAAGCCCAGCGCUGAUGGCUCUGCUGAGAGGCUGAUGGGUAAAUAUUUACCCAGGCAGCCUGACUAGUUACUAUGGAUGCCACAGUUAAGACUAUUAACUUGGCUGAUAAGUCUCUGCUUCCUGCCAAAGAAUUUUUUUACUGAACGUGCUUUUUAAAGCCCCCCCUUUAACAUUUAAAUGUGAAGUGCAAAUGUCAGAAAUGACUUUGCUGCUCCAAGUUCAGCCCAUCAUCCUCACAUAGGCUUUCUUCUCUAAAAAGGUGAAAAGUCAAAGCCUGUGCCCACGUGCUGCACUAAUGAAGCAGUAAGGCUGCUAUGUUCCGACUUACUAAGACCCAUGUGCACACACACAUACCCCAUCAGUUGUUUAUCCGACCUGGUAAGGCAGCACAGUCCAUGUUCACUUAGUUGAAUAGUGAUAAAUCCAGCUCACACAAAAAUGAAAUACAAAACUUCAUAAUUAAUAUUUUAAAGCUCACACUUAAAUAUAUGUAAAACUUAAAAGUGAAAAAAAAAAAAAAGCAGAAUUCCUACUAGUACUAUGCUAUAUAAGUAAGUCACACUCUGCCCCAGAAGUUUAUCUGCCUCAGGAAACCUCAGUUUCAAUAUGUGAUGGUCUCAGCUGCACCCAGAAAAUAAGUCAGAAGGCCGGGCGGUGGUGGCGCAUGCCUUUAAUCCCAGCACUCGGGAGGCAGAGGCAGGCGGAUCUCUGUGAGUUCGAGACCAGCCUGGUCUACAAGAGCUAGUUCCAGGACAGACUCCAAAACCACAGAGAAACCCUGUCUCGAAAAACCAAAAAAGAGAGAG